UACAGAGGGUGCGAGCGUUGUCCGGAAUCACUGGGCGUAAAGGGCGCGUAGGUGGCGGCCCAAGUCCAUGGUGAAAGCUCGAUGCUCAACAUCGAGUCGGCCACGGAUACUGGGUUGCUGGAGCACUGUAGGGGCAGAUGGAAUUCCGGGUGUAGCGGUGGAAUGCGUAGAGAUCCGGAAGAACACCGGUGGCGAAGGCGGCCUGCUGGGCAGUAGCUGACGCUGAGGCGCGACAGCGUGGGGAGCAAACAGG
rnacentral:rRNA from 1 species